rnacentral:rRNA from 1 species
GAGUUUGAUCGUGGCUCAGAUUGAACGCUGGCGGCAGGCCUAACACAUGCAAGUCGAGCGGAUGACGGGAGCUUGCUCCUUGAUUCAGCGGCGGACGGGUGAGUAAUGCCUAGGAAUCUGCCUGGUAGUGGGGGACAACGUUUCGAAAGGAACGCUAAUACCGCAUACGUCCUACGGGAGAAAGCAGGGGACCUUCGGGCCUUGCGCUAUCAGAUGAGCCUAGGUCGGAUUAGCUAGUUGGUGGGGUAAUGGCUCACCAAGGCGACGAUCCGUAACUGGUCUGAGAGGAUGAUCAGUCACACUGGAACUGAGACACGGUCCAGACUCCUACGGGAGGCAGCAGUGGGGAAUAUUGGACAAUGGGCGAAAGCCUGAUCCAGCCAUGCCGCGUGUGUGAAGAAGGUCUUCGGAUUGUAAAGCACUUUAAGUUGGGAGGAAGGGCAGUAAGUUAAGUACCUUGCUGUUUGACGUUACCGACAGAAUAAG